AUAAAUAAGCGGUGGAAAAGAAACCAACAGGGAUUCCCUUAGUAGCGGCGAGCGAACAGGGAAGAGCCCAGCGCCGAAUUCCGCGUCUCAAAGGGCGUUUGGAACAUGUGGCGUUUAGGAGGAAUCUCUCCGAGGGCAGACGGUGUCGCAAGUCCCCCUGAACGGGGCUGUGAUCCAGAGCGGGUGCGAGGCCCAUAGCUGGUACCGUCUCCUUUGGGUGUCCCCUCCUUGGAGUCGGGUUGCUUGGGAGUGCAGCCCUAAUUGGGUGGUAAACUCCACCUAAGGCUAAAUACGUCCGUGAGACCGAUAGCAAACAAGUACCGUGAGGGAAAGUUGCAAAGAACUUUGAAGAGAGAGUUCAAGAGUACGUGAAACCGCUCAGAGGCAAACGGGUGGGCCCACGAAAGCCGAAGGCGGGGGGAUUCAGUCGAGAGGACGGUGGGGCAGGACUGGCUGGUUGGACGGACCGUGCCAGGCCGGGUCAGUUCCCGAGAUCUGCCGCCUUUCGACGCAUUUCCCCCUGCUUAGUAGGACGCCGCAACCGGUUGGCGCUGCAGCCAUAAGGGAGAGUAAAUGGAAGGUAGCCAGUGAGUUCUUCUUCGGAGGCGCGAGCUGGUCCUAAGCCGACUCUCCUGGUGCUUGUGGCCCGACCGUGGUCGUGAGUCCCUCAACGGGAUGUCGCCGAGCCCUCUGACUGGAGCGGGAGAAGUGGCAGGCUGCUUUCCGCGGAAAAAAUCGAUCGCUUCACGCGUGCAGUGGGCGAUCUCCGGAGGUAGCUGCUGGUGCGUUUUUCUCCUGCGCUGGGCACAGGCAGUUGGCGGCGAGUAGGUCGGUCACCCACCCGACCC
rnacentral:rRNA from 2 species